GCCUAUCUUAGUGCUAUAUAAAACAUCGAAUUGCAAACUCGAGAAAGGAAUAUAAAAUUUCCAGUAGGCU
rnacentral:tRNA from 1 species